UUUAUUUCUCCUCCUGAAACAAAAUCGAACAGCCUAAAAUCUCUUCUCUUCUUUCUCGAUCCAGCAAAAUUUCUUCCGUCCUCCUCCCCUAUUUUGAAAUCGAUUCCCCGAUUGCUCGCAGAAGAUUUCAUCUUGCUUAUCGGGUUGGAUUUGGUAUUCUAGCUCAAUGUAUGGAAGUUGAAGCCGGCUGUUGAGACCUUAAGCUCCUUAAAUGGGAUCCAACGCUGGCCCGAGGAAGAGAUCCCAUGUCGAUGCAUCAGUGGAGUCCAACCAGGCGUCUCGCUCAGGACUUCGCAAAAGUCUAAGACUUACUUACCAUGCUCAAUGUUGUGAACUGAUCCAACCAGAAAAUGGAAAAGUUGCAGCAAAGGAGAAAGUGAAUUUCUGUUUGGGUCUCCGUAGAAGCCCAAGGCUUAUACAACAGGCUAAACAUCAAGAGUUGGAAAGUUCGGAAGAUAAGAGAAAAAGACAGGAAAAUGAGUGUAGUGUUUACUAAAGAAUACGACAUUCUUUUGUAUCAGAGGACGAUAGGGCAUUAAUGUUGGAACAGCGCCGUAUCCGUUGUAGAGAGAGAAAAAGUGCAUUAAGCGAAGAGGAAACAGAAAGAAAUCUUGAACGGCGUCGUAAUGCUUACCGUAAGCGGCGGCAGCAAUCACUUGGAGAGGCUUCGACAUCUACUUCUCAAAUUGACAGAGUUUUUUAUAGGAAUUGAGGGGAACAUGCCCACCAGGUUCUGCCACCUUCGUCGAACCCCAGGUUUCUCAACCAACAUAGAAUGGAUGAACCCCGACCAAGUACUAACAGAGGUACCCUUGAAAAAAUAUGCAACCAACACCGUACCCGGUCAUCACAACAUCAACAUGAAAAUAAAGAAGGUCAUGCAGGGGGGACAAUUUGUGGUAAGAUAGAAUAAUGUUCAUUGUAAACCUUUUUUUACUUACUGUGAACUUCUUCAAGCAUAUACAUAUAUGUAUAUAUAGAUGGAUAGAUGCAUAUAUAUCAUUAGUAGAUUUAGUGGUGAAGCUGAUGGUGUAGCUGAUGGAUAGAUGCAUAUAUACCAUUAGUAUAUACAUAUUACUGUGAACUUCUUCAAGCAGCUGGUAGUGGUGAUUAUGUCUGCGGUGAAGCUGAUGGUGUAGACUGGUGGUAGUGAGAAGAUGGACUGAUAGCGCUCUGUUUCUACUGACUUGGUGUUGUAGACUGUAUGGGAGGGAGGUGAUGCUGCAGUUGAGCUGGUGACGCAUGGUGUUUGUUAUAUGUGAGAUGGGAAUAUUGCCCUGAAGCGAAGAUGGUGCAAAGAGGAGCAAAGUUCUUUUUUGUUAUCGAUGAGCUGGUGAUGCAAGUAGUGAAUGUUUGAGAUUGUACCGGUUGGCAGUGGUGGAAUGAGACCUGGAGGUAUGUUGAAAAGAGGAGAUGUUGCUGUAGAUGGAGACUGCAUGGUGUUUGUUGUAUGUGAGAUGGGAAUAUUGCCCUGAAGCAAAGAUGGUGCAAAGAGGAGCAAAGUUCUUUUUUGUUAUCAAUUAGCUCAAGGUGUAAAUAAUCACCAUCAGCAGCUGUUCGAAGAAGUUCCCUGUUUUUGUUUAAUAAUUUAUCCAUUUGCUUUAAUUUCUCAGUAUAAUCAAUGUUGAUAUUGUCACAGACAGUGAAAGAGAUAAGAACCGUCCACUUGAAAUGGAUAAAUUGCUGGAGCAUCACGUUAAUGACAGGGAGAGAAGAGUAAGAAAUGACCAGGAAGCAGGACCAAGCAGGGGUAAGUUGAAAAAAGUAGAUUAGAUGCAGAGUUUUCUGCCAACUUUGGAGCCAACUGUGCUGAAAAGGCUUCAGUGUCAGGAAAAAGGACAAACCAUGACUUAUAUUCCAUUCGGCCAACCACUGCCGACUAUCGGGGUUGAAAAGGCGAGGGUACCCAAAUAUACCUCAAGCUAAAACUUUUCCUACUUAUAAGUCCUUUUUUCGAAAGUGAUUGUCUAUGGACCGAGUCGAGAUAAUACAACUAAUCGGUUCACACUUCGUGUGAUCGUUCUAUGAAUACGAGAUCGAGACAAUACAACAACGAAGUAUGUUUACUUGAUACAAAGGUUCAGACUUAAUCAAACACAAUAGGAUUGCUUAUCAAGUAAAUAGGAAUUAACGUUUAUGUAAUUUACUUUAAUUAUAAUAAGACGAUUAUAAU